rnacentral:rRNA from 1 species
CUACGGGGCGCUGCAGUGGGGAAUAUUGCACAAUGGAGGAAACUCUGAUGCAGCAACGCCGCGUGGAGGAUGACACUUUUCGGAGCGUAAACUCCUUUUAUAUAGGAAGAAGAUGACGGUAUUAUAUGAAUAAGCGCCGGCUAACUCCGUGCCAGCAGCCGCGGUAAUACGGAGGGCGCAAGCGUUACUCGGAAUCACUGGGCGUAAAGAGCGUGUAGGCGGAUUAAAAAGUCAGAAGUGAAAUCCUAUAGCUUAACUAUAGAACUGCUUCUGAAACUCUUAAUCUAGAAUAUGGGAGAGGUAGAUGGAAUUUCUGGUGUAGGGGUAAAAUCCGUAGAGAUCAGAAGGAAUACCGAUUGCGAAGGCGAUCUACUAGAACAUUAUUGACGCUGAGACGCGAAAGCGUGGGGAGCAAACAGGAUUAGAUACCCGGGUAGUC